AUUUAAUCCUCCUCCCCAUUUUUUAUCUCCCUUUUUCCUCUCAUCUCCGUCCAUCUUGAUCGUGGUCGUGGAACCUUCAAAUUGUUCACUCUACCGGUUGAAAAUUCCUUCUUUGUUACUGGGAAGUGAUCGGUCAUCUUAGGCAUUUUUCAAUUUCUGCAAUGCUUUCAGUACCAUAAUGAAGAUGAAGAGGAGGACGCUAGAAGUGCGUCCAAAUAUUAGAUCAUUCAUCAAUAAUGUCACAUCUGUUCCACUUGAGGAUAUUGAAGAACCUCUGUUUUAUAGCAUAUAAAGACAAGGAAGGAUUCCUAGAUGCAAUUAUCGAGGAUGAAGAAGUUGGAAAGGAGGAGAAUGGAAAUAAUGGGUUGAUUCGGCACCAGAAAGUGCAGACACCUUUGGAAGAGACAUGGAAGGCAUUGUCGUCAUUUGCAUGUCUCUGUCGCACGUGCCACUAGGUUCGUUCUACCCUAUACUUUUAAUGAUGUUGUUUGUGUAUUUUUUAAGUGUUUGGAAGGGGUGGAGAGGAGAUGGAUUUAUUGCAAUAGCAAGUGAUUCAAGUAAAAAUUGUUCCUGGUAAGUGCAUUUUUGAAUGCAUACAGUUUUAAGAAUAGUUUCUAAGUGUUUUCAAGUGACUCUAAUGAUGUGGAAAUUCGUAUUUGAGAAGUUAUAAUGUGCUUAUUUAUCAUUGGACCAUAUUGGGUUAGAAUGUAACACCCGUUUAUGACUCAUGGGUACUAUUUAUUUGUAGUUUAGAUCUGAUUCAAGGUGCUUGAGUUUGUGGGUUGCAAUAUGGUAGUUUAUGGGUUAUUCAUGCACUAUGGUAGUUUUUAUGACAACUUUUGAGAUUUGAAGUACAUUGUGAGCUAAAUUUGUUUAUUGAUGCAUGUGUUCUUGAAUAUUCAUUUUUUGGGAAUUUUGAUAGUUCUAUUGAGAAUAAGUGGUUGUGAAAUAUUUUUGGGAGUGUGUUUCUUUGAACAGGUCCAAGGUAAAUUUUUGGUUUUGUUGUGGUAGCAUCGUUAUGCUGCCGAAAAUUUACCUUCGUAUUCGUAUCUCAUAUCUAGGUGCAACAAAGGAGUAAAGAUUUGGUAUCACAACCUCUUUAUGUUUUUUCUUGGGGA